rnacentral:lncRNA from 10 species
GAAGAAUAAACAUCACCCAAGAACUUUUCUUUCUUUUCUGAGGAAAGGUCUCCGGCCUUUGCACUUGGACUAGAAUUCUAUCAUUGGCUCUCCUAUGUCUCCACCUUGCCAAAUGAAGAUCUUGGGACUUCUCAGACUUCAUAAUCAUACAGAGUCUCACCUUGUGGCCCAGACUGGAAUACAGUGGUGCAAACAUGGCUCACUGCAGCCUUGACCUCCUGGGCUCAAGCGAUCUUCCCACCUCAGCCCCCUAAGUAGCUGGGACUACAGGUGUGCACCACUAUGCCCAGCUAAUUUUUGUAUUUUGGUAGAGAUGGGGUUUCUUCAUGUUACCCAGGCUGGUCUUAAACUCCUGAGUUAAGCCAUCCUCCUGACUCAGCCUCCCAAAGUGCUGGGAUUACAGGUGUGAGCCAUGGUGCCCAGCUACAUUUUCAUACUUUGUGUUUAAGCCAGGUAAAUGAAUACCUACUCAAACAAUUUUGAUACAUGUUUUUAAGUGAAAAAAAAAAACUCCUAAUCAUAACUAAAGAGUGAAAUAGGAAGGUUAUGUAAACAAUUUGCCAACUUGCAGAAAUAAAUUUCACUGGUAAAUCUGUUCAUAAUUUUUGUAUAUACUUAAAUAUCACUUUAAGAGGAAAAUGCAUUUGUGAUCUCUUCAGCCUAGGUCAAAUUCUUCUGUCAUAUACUUAUGACACUUAUAUCCAUUUACUUAUGACACAUAUCCAUUUAUACAUAUAUCCAUUUUGUACUUCCUUGGAGCACUCUUAAUAAUUAGUUAAAUAAUCAACUACCAAGAAAUUAAUCUUCCAUCCUAGAAUGAAAGCAUCAAGAGGGCAGUGGCCAGGCCAGCCUUGCUGACUUCUAUAUCUCAUAGUGUCUACACAGAGGAUGCUCUACAUUGGAGGAGGAGUUGGUGUUUCAAAAUCUAAAUGUUUUAUUUCUAGUAAGAGGGUAAAAAUAGCUAUGGCCAUCUCACUGCUACUUAGGUAGAGGGACUGAGGAGUACGCUUUCUGAUCUUUCCACUGCUCUGCGGCUUCCUGCAGGUAUUUUUGCUUUAAGAAAAGAGAGGGGAGUAAGAGCCCAUUUGCCCGGGACAACUGAAGUCUCAAAAGCUGAUGAUGUCCUCUUGAAUAAAGUUUUGGAAUUUUUCCCAUG